rnacentral:rRNA from 1 species
GACGAACGCUGGCGGCGUGCUUAACACAUGCAAGUCGAGCGGUAAGGCCCUUUCGGGGGUACGACGAGCGGCGAACGGGUGAGUAACACGUGGGUGACCUGCCCUCAGCUCUGGGAGUAAGCCUGGGAAACCGGGGUCGUAAUAACUGGAUAUGACUCCAUGACGCAUGUUGUGGGGUGGAAAGCCUUGUGCGGCUGAGGAGUGGGCCCGG